rnacentral:misc_RNA from 1 species
UGGCUCUAGCAUCGAUGAAGAACGCAGCGAAAUGCGAUAAGUAAUGUGAAUUGCAGAAUUCAGUGAAUCAUCGAAUCUUUGAACGCACAUUGCGCCCGCCAGUAUUCUGGCGGGCAUGCCUGUCCGAGCGUCAUUUCAACCCCUCAAGCCCGGCUUGGUGUUGGGGACCGACCGCCCCCGGGCGCCGUCGGCCCUGAAACGAAGUGGCGGUCCCGCCGUGGACCCUCUGCGUAGUAGCGACACCUCGCAGGGGAGACCGGCGGCGGCCUCGCCCAACCCCAUUUCAAGGUUGACCUCGGAUCAGGUAGGAAUACCCGCUGA